rnacentral:rRNA from 1 species
GACGAACGCUGGCGGCGUGCCUAAUACAUGCAAGUCGAGCGGACUUUGAAAAGCUUGCUUUUCAAAGUUAGCGGCGGACGGGUGAGUAACACGUGGGCAACCUGCCUGUAAGACUGGGAUAACACCGGGAAACCGGUGCUAAUACCGGAUAAUCUUUUUCCCUCACAUGAGAAAAAACUGAAAGACGGCGUAAGCUGUCACUUACAGAUGGGCCCGCGGCGCAUUAGCUAGUUGGUGAGGUAAUGGCUCACCAAGGCGACGAUGCGUAGCCGACCUGAGAGGGUGAUCGGCCACACUGGGACUGAGACACGGCCCAGACUCCUACGGGAGGCAGCAGUAGGGAAUCUUCCGCAAUGGACGAAAGUCUGACGGAGCAACGCCGCGUGAGCGAUGAAGGCCUUCGGGUCGUAAAGCUCUGUUGUUAGGGAAGAACAAGUAUCGGAGUAACUGCCGGUACCUUGACGGUACCUAACCAGAAAGCCACGGCUAACUACGUGCCAGCAGCCGCCGUAACAC